rnacentral:rRNA from 1 species
UACGGGGGGAGCAAGCGUUGUUCGGAUUUACUGGGCGUAAAGGGCGCGUAGGCGGCCAGCACAAGUCAGUUGUGAAAUCUCUGAGCUUAACUCGGAAAGGUCAACUGAUACUGUGCGGCUAGAGUGCGGAAGGGGCAACUGGAAUUCUUGGUGUAGCGGUGAAAUGCGUAGAUAUCAAGAGGAACACCUGCGGCGAAGGCGGGUUGCUGGGCCGACACUGACGCUGAGGCGCGAAAGCCAGGGGAGCGAACAGG